UAUGACUCUCGGCAAUGGAUAUCUUAGCUCUUGCAUCGAUGAAGAGCGCAGCAAAAUGGAUAUCUUAGCUCUUGCAUCGAUGAAGAGCGCAGCAAAAUGCGAUACGUGAUGCGAAUUACAGAAUCCCGUGAAGCAUCGAUUUUUUGAAUGCAAGUUGCGCCUGAGGCCAACUAGCCAAGGGCACGUCCGCCUGGGCGUCAUGC
rnacentral:rRNA from 1 species